UCGAGGGGCAGCACGAUGUAGCAAUACAUUGGUGGCGACCGGCGCACGGGUGAGUAACGCGUAUGCAACCUACCUAUCAGAGGGGAAUAACCCGGCGAAAGUCGGACUAAUACCGCAUAAAACAGGGGUUCCACAUGGAAAUAUUUGUUAAAGAAUUAUCGCUGAUAGAUGGGCAUGCGUUCCAUUAGAUAGUUGGUGAGGUAACGGCUCACCAAGUCCACGAUGGAUAGGGGUUCUGAGAGGAAGGUCCCCCACACUGGUACUGAGACACGGACCAGACUCCUACGGGAGGCAGCAGUGAGGAAUAUUGGUCAAUGGGCGAGAGCCUGAACCAGCCAAGUCGCGUGAAGGAUGAAGGAUCUAUGGUUUGUAAACUUCUUUUAUAUGGGAAUAAAGUGAGGAACGUGUUCCUUUUUGUAUGUACCAUAUGAAUAAGCAUCGGCUAACUCCGUGCCAGCAGCCGCGGUAAUACGGAGGAUGCGAGCGUUAUCCGGAUUUAUUGGGUUUAAAGGGUGCGUAGGUGGUUAAUUAAGUCAGCGGUGAAAGUUUGUGGCUCAACCAUAAAAUUGCCGUUGAAACUGGUUGACUUGAGUAUAUUUGAGGUAGGCGGAAUGCGUGGUGUAGCGGUGAAAUGCAUAGAUAUCACGCAGAACUCCGAUUGCGAAGGCAGCUUACUAAA
rnacentral:rRNA from 1 species